rnacentral:rRNA from 1 species
GACGAACGCUGGCGGCGUGCUUAACACAUGCAAGUCGAACGAAGUGGCGAACGGGUGAGUAACGCGUAAUCAACCUGCCCUUCAGAGGGGGACAACAGGUGGAAGCGACUGCUAAUACCGCAUACUGAAGGAGGGGAUUGCGUCUGAUUGGCUAGUUGGAGGGGUAACGGCCCACCCAGGCGAUGAUCGGUAGCCGGGCGGGGGGGAUGGACGGCCACAUUGGGACUUGGACACGGGCCAGACUCCUACGGGAGGCAGCAGUGGGGAAUCUUCCGCAAUGGACGAAAGUCUGACGGAGCAACGCCGCGGGAGUGAUGACGGCCUUCGGGGUGUAAAGCUCUGUUAAUCGGGACGCGGUACCGGAAUAGAAAGCCACGGCUAACUACGUGCCAGCCGCCGCGGUAAUAC